ACCGUCAUCCUUUAUCUCAAGAAACAUUCAAGAACAGUGUGGCUGUUGAGAGCAUUAACCGAAAUUCAGUGUGUUGAUGCCAUCCGACAUGUUGUAUUAGUGCACACUGCCUUGGUGAUACAAGAAGAAAAAUCACAUAUGCCUGGAAGAAGCAGAGUUAGUGAACAAAGAAAAUGUGCUAUUUAUACACUAUAUAUGGAAGAGGCCCAUGACCCAUUGCUGGCUGCAAGGAUGAGCCCAUGAUUCUGGACUGGGAGAAGUGAUGCCUGCAGCUGUGACAGCCAUCGUGAGAUGAUGAAGCAACACAGUGAAGGAUAAAAGGAAGCCAGCCCGCCAGAACUGUGGGCCUGGAGGAUGGAGAGCCUGGCUACCUCUGGGGCUCCUGUUCAAGCUCAGUUGAACUACAGACAAGCUUCUUUAACAUUUUGCUAAUAAAUGAUGUGUUUCUACCAGCGUUUCUCUGUUACCCCAACAAAAUAAACUAUAAUUGACCUGUUCAUUCUCAUUAUUAGAAUUUCACUGGAACUAACUACAUUUAUUAUGACUU
rnacentral:lncRNA from 1 species